UACGUAGGGGGCGAGCGUUGUCCGGAUUUACUGGGCGUAAAGAGCGUGUAGGCGGCCAAACAGGUCCGUUGUGAAAACUGGAGGCUCAACUUCCAGACGUCGACGGAAACCGUGUGGCUAGAGUCCGGAAGAGGAGAGUGGAAUUCCUGGUGUAGCGGUGAAAUGCGCAGAUAUCAGGAAGAACACCAAUGGCGAAGGCAGCUCUCUGGGACGGUACUGACGCUGAGACGCGAAAGCGUGGGGAGCGAACAGG
rnacentral:rRNA from 1 species